GCUUAGAGUUUGAUCCUGGCUCAGAAUGAACGCUGGCGGCGCGCUUAACACAUGCAAGUCGAGCGAGAAAGCUCCUUCGGGAGUAAGUAAAGCGGCGGACGGGUGAGUAACACGUGAGAAUUUACCCUUUAGUGGGGAAUACCUUCGAGAAAUUGGAGUUAAUACCACAUACGUCCCUUCGGGGAGAAAGAUGGCCUCUUGCUGUCGCUAAAGGAUAAGCUUGCGGACUAUUAGCUUGUUGGUGAGGUAAAGGCUCACCAAGGCUUUGAUGGAUAGCCGGCCUGAGAGGGUGAUCGGCCACACUGGAACUUAGACACGGUCCAGACUCCUACGGGAGGCAGCAGUGGGGAAUAUUGCGCAAUGGGCGAAAGCCUGACGCAGCGACGCCGCGUGGAGGAUGACGGUCUUCGGAUUGUAAACUCCUGUUAAGUGGGAAGAAAGACCUGCCUUUAAUAGAGGCGGGGGAUGACUGUACCAUUAGAGAAAGCACCGGCUAACUUCGUGCCAGCAGCCGCGGUAAUACGAGGGGUGCUAGCGUUAUUCGGAAUCAUUGGGCGUAAAGGGUGUGUAGACGGCGCGUUAAGUCAACUGUUAAAUUCUCCGGCCUAACUGGAGGUCAGCAGUAGAAACUGGCGUGCUAGAGGAUGGAAGAGAGAAGUGGAAUUCUCGGAGUAGCGGUAAAAUGCGUAGAUCUCGAGAGGAACACCGAUGGCGAAGGCAGCUUCUUGGUCCAUUCCUGACGUUGAGACACGAAAGCGUGGGGAGCAAACAGGAUUAGAUACCCUGGUAGUCCACGCUGUAAACGAUGAUCACUAGACGUCAGCUCUGUUUUGCAGGGUUGGUGUCGCAGCUAACGCGAUAAGUGAUCCGCCUGGGGAGUACGGUCGCAAGAUUAAAACUCAAAGGAAUUGA
rnacentral:rRNA from 1 species